rnacentral:rRNA from 1 species
CUAUAAGACUGGGAUAACUUCGGGAAACCGGAGCUAAUACCGGAUAAGAUUUUGAACCGCAUGGUUCAAUAGUGAAAGACGGCCUUGCUGUCACUUAUAGAUGGAUCCGCGCCGUAUUAGCUAGUUGGUAAGGUAACGGCUUACCAAGGCAACGAUACGUAGCCGACCUGAGAGGGUGAUCGGCCACACUGGAACUGAGACACGGUCCAGACUCCUACGGGAGGCAGCAGUAGGGAAUCUUCCGCAAUGGGCGAAAGCCUGACGGAGCAACGCCGCGUGAGUGAUGAAGGUCUUCGGAUCGUAAAACUCUGUUAUCAGGGAAGAACAAACGUGUAAGUAACUGUGCACGUCUUGACGGUACCUGAUCAGAAAGCCACGGCUAACUACGUGCCAGCAGCCGCGGUAAUACGUAGGUGGCAAGCGUUAUCCGGAAUUAUUGGGCGUAAAGCGCGCGUAGGCGGUUUUUUAAGUCUGAUGUGAAAGCCCACGGCUCAACCGUGGAGGGUCAUUGGAAACUGGAAAACUUGAGUGCAGAAGAGGAAAGUGGAAUUCCAUGUGUAGCGGUGAAAUGCGCAGAGAUAUGGAGGAACACCAGUGGCGAAGGCGACUUUCUGGUCUGUAACUGACGCUGAUGUGCGAAAGCGUGGGGAUCAAACAGGAUUAGAUACCCUGGUAGUCCACGCCGUAAACGAUGAGUGCUAAGUGUUAGGGGGUUUCCGCCCCUUAGUGCUGCAGCUAACGCAUAAGCA